AAUGAUUAAGAUUUAGGGUUUAGUAUUUGGAAGGUGGGGGUUGAGGUUUGGGUUUAGUGAUAUGUCCCAUUCGACGAUUAAUAAAGAGUGUUCUUUUUUGCUCACUAAUUUGUACUAUACUAUGUAUUUUGUUCCAUUCUAUUUGGGUUUAGAGUCUAUACUUGAGUUUAGGGUUUAGUGAUUAUGAUUUAGAGUUUAGUUUGGAAGGUGGGAGUUUAGGUUUGGGUUUAGUGAUAGCAUUUUUGUGUUUAGUAUUCAAAAGUUAGGUCUGAGUUUAGCAUUGAAGAGUUUUGUUUGGAUUUAGUUUAAUAUUACAUAAUAUUAUAUACUAUUUUCAUAUUUUGAUAAUUGGGUUUAAAGUUUAUAUUUGGGUUUAGGAUUCAGUAAUUAGGAUUUAGGGUUUAGUAUUUAGAUGGAAGGGUGAUGUUUAAAGUUUAGGGUUUAUUAUUUAGGAGUUGAGGUUUUGAGUAAAGUUUGGUAUUUACUAGAUGUGAGUAAAUUUUGAAUCCUAUUAAUUUUAGUGAUAUGGUAUAGAAAAAUCAGAUGCAUCUUUAUGUGUUAAACAAAAGUGUAGUGUUGGUUGUAUUACGUGUGAUAAUUAAUUGUGAGGUGUCAAAAUGUUGAUGUCAUCAGUUUCUCUCUCAAUUACUGGCAACUUGAACAAAAAAUGGAUAAUACCGGAUAGAAGUUGACAUAAUUGUUAUGGACUUUAUUAUGUCAAAAUCAAUGUUCUACACUUAAUUUCUUUUUCAAAUUUGGUCAUUUGGCAAAUUCACUCAUAAAUCAAAUUAGCUUAAGUUGUUUAGAAAAAAAAAUAAAAAGAGUAGUGGACACGUGCCCCGGUACCCGCAAUCCUACGUCUGCCCCAGGUUGUAGGUUGUCAAUUUUAGAUCACUGAUAAAAUUGGAUCUAUCCAUUUCGUCUCGCCAAGUCAUCACCGUCUCCAUCUAACACUAAUUUGCAAGGUAUGAUCUUCUCUUUACUAACCCAUAAACAUAAACUGAUUUUCUUUUUGCCAAAACACUUUUUUUUAACUUUCAAAUUUUUUAGGAAGAAAAUUCUAUAUUACUUGAUUGUAACAAAAACUUAAUGUGUAAUUUGUGAAAACAAAUUAAACAUUACAUCCUGUCAUUAAUUGAUUGUUAGAGAUUGUAUAUGUUUCUUUUGUCUUUACAUUUUUGAUCAUUUAGUUCUCUUAAUCAAUCUCGUAAUAAAGUAAUUUUCCUCUUUUUCGUAUUUUCAAGUUUUUUUUUUGUUUUGAGGGUAAAAUCUGUAUUGCUUGAUUGGUAAUGAAAAAUUAUGUGUAAUUUGUGAAAGAAAAUAGAACAUAUCAUCCUGUCAUUUGAUCGUUAUAUAGAGACGUUGGUUGACACUCAUGAUCACUUAGUUUUUCAUUACCAAUCUCGUUUUUGCAGUUUUCUCUCUCGUUUUUUUAAAAUCAAUUGUUUUUUUGUUUGUUUUUUUGUUUUGUGCCCAGAUUGUUUCGUAAUUGCUUUUUUAAAAAUUGUUUCCUUUGAUUCUUUUGCUUGUUUUCACUUUCUUUUUGUGCUUGUUUGCUUUGAUAUUGAUGGAAAAUUUCCUUGUGGGUGAAAAACUAAAUAAUGGUCUAAUGUGGAUUCGAACUUGAGGCAUUAGGGGGUGCACAAGACAAUUAAAUCAUCUCAUCUAGCUGAUUUCUUUCUCUUCUUACAUACAAACACUAAAUAUUCAUAACAUUACGGGGGCACGUGCCACCAUAGCGGUAGCUCUAGCUUCGACGUCUGAUUUGUUAUGAGGUAGUCUAUUUUACUGCGAGAAGCUUUUACUGGAUCUGCUACAUGGGAUAGAAGCAACAGAGAUACAACAACCAUCUUCCACGGACGUCUUUAACCAUAAAAGAAGGGCUUUUGCUUUGGAGUUAACAUGCUACAGCUUUUUUGUAUACUUAGUGUUAAACACGAACUCUGCUAAAUGCUAAUAAAUUCAACCUCACUCAUUGUUAAUUUAUAGACGAAACAAAGCCAAUGUUAAAUUACGUACGUUCAAUUGAGAAAUGGCAUCAUGCGAUAUUGUUUGUUAUCCAUUAAUACUCAUCAUUGAAAGCCUCUUAAAAAAAAUACUCAUCAUACUAUUUGAAUAUAUAUUUUAAAAAUUAUAUGAUAAACCACGUGAGCUAUCAGACUAUGUAUGUUAAUACAAUUAAUGAAUUAGUAAAAUUUCUAAUAGCUUUUUUAAUCAUAUAAAAAUUACAUAAAAGUAGUCAGCUGACUAAUUUGAUGAUAGGAAUUUUACCUAAGAGAUUUGAUAAUUAUAGUUUGGAAUUUUCUUUACUGACUUGAGAUCAACUUUCAAUUUUAAUAAAUUUAGUUUGAUGAAGAAUAAAAAACUAAGAUAUAUUUGUUUUGUAUAUUAAAAACUAAGAUAAUUAUAGGCGUUCCAUGGAUUCCUAAAGGGACCCGAGUUCAAAUCUGCACCACACUAGAUUUUCACGCGCGUGGCCAUCGGGGCUUUCACAUUUUAUUUCCGAGGAAUGGUUUACCAUUUUUUAAUAUUAAAACUAGGUAAUAACACGCGCCUUGCGCGGAAUAUGAUUAUUAGUUUCGUUAUUUUUAAUAAAAAUACAUUAAAUCUGUUUAAUCUGGACAUCGGUUUGGUUUUAAGUUAUUUUUGGUUUUUAAUCUCCUAAUAUAUAACUAUUAUUUUAAAUUAAUAUUUAUUUUAGUUUAUUCGGUUAGAAUGUUUGAUUUAUUAGUUUUUUCGGUAAAAACCAAAAAUUGCUAUUAUUUGUUUAUUGUCAUGUUAUGAAUUUUAGAUAGUCGUCAUGUCGAACCAAUGGUUUCAUAUCAUAGUUUGUAAAUGGAUAAUAGCUCAAGAAAAAUAAAAGAAAUUUAUUAAGACAAAUCAUUUCACUACAAUUUGGUCACUAGUGAAAUAAGCAUUAAAAAAAAAGUAUUUCAACUUCCAAAAAAAAAUUGACACUUCAGUUGUGGUAAAUACUUAGUCACAAGGUGUUCACAUCAAAGUGCAGAUGUAUGUGUAUGUAAAAGUAUAUAAAAAUAGUUGACAAAUAUGUAAAGAUAUUGUUAAUUAAUAUUAAAUGACAUUUUUGUUCAAAAUAAUACAUGAAAGAUAAAAUUAAAAUUAAUUAAAAAUUAAAAAGGACUUGACAUUAGUGAAUUUUUUUCAUAUAAAGAAAACUAAAUUGUAUCCGUAAAUAGAUGUGGGCACAUAUCGAAUAUCUAGAUAUUUGGAAGCAUUCAUGUCGAUUUAAUAUUUAGCCACAUGGAUAGACGGUGACUCUGAUAUCCGAAAUGAUUUACAAUUUUAAAGAAUAUCCGAUUUGAUCUGUUGCCACAUAUCUAUUAUAAUGUGAAUGCAUUUAUUACUAUGUUUCACCUUUAAUAUAUGAGGGAUAUCAAAAAUUGUCCUAUAAAAUAGUUUUACGAUUUCUUAAGUAGAAAAUCGAGACAAAACCCUAAUUUCCCGCACACAAAAAAAAAACUAAAAACUGAUACAUAGUAUUAAAGCUCGAGUGUAAUUAGCAUUUCCAUUCUUAGAUAACUUGAGAUCUUAGGUAUCUCACAAUUGUUUAAGAGCAUUUCCUCUCAAACUAGGGUUUUCUAUCAAGCCGUCUCCCCAGUUCACUGAGUGUUAAUCUCUCUCUCUCUCUCUGUUGGAUAAUUUCAAUUAACUUGAGGAGCAAGUUAACUCAUUAAAAUGAAGUUUGAUGGGUUAAGGAAAAAAAAACAUAUCGAGCUUAGGAAUGUUUUCAUAUUAUUAUUAGGAAAAGAUGUAGCUUCGUCCUAUAUAAAGAGUUCUUAUGGAGAGAUGUUCCAUCAAGAAGAGAAACACAUUGAAAGGUUUAGUUUUAAGAGUUUCUAAAUCUAAUAAGAAGAGAAGUUCUUAUAAUCUUUGUGUUUGUGCAACUUUAAUUGGUAUCAGAGCUCCAUGUUUCGAAGAUCGUUUACAAGAGAAGUUGUAACUCGAUCAAAACAUGGGAGACAAUAACAAUUCUCAAGGACGUGAUAAAGGUCUUGAGAUGAAGAAGGACAUACGAUGUCUGAUGCUAUCAUCGACCAACUACACCGUAUGGUCGAUGCGAGUGAAAGUGAUGCUUCGUUUAUACGAAGUUUGGGAUACGAUUGAUCCAGGGAGCGAUGAUGUAAAGAAGAACAAUAUGGCAAUUGCUCUAAUCUUUCAAUCAGUCCCGGAAGCGCUAAUACUUCAGAUAGGAGAACAUGAUACAUCGAAGAAGAUUUGGGAAGCUAUCAAAUCUCGUAACCUAGGUGCUGAUCGCAUGAGAGAAGCGAGGUUACAUACUUUGAUGUCUGAGUUCGACAAACUGAAGAUGGCAGAUACAAACACGGUGGAUGACUACGCAGGAAAACUUUCAGGCUUAGCAUCGAAAGCAGCCGCGUUAGGAGAGAUAAUGGAAGCAUCGAAGAUGGUAAAGAAGUUUCUGAAGGAACUUCCAAGAACUAAGUUCAUUCACAUCGUAGCUUCGUUAGAACAAGUGUUGGACCUAAUUCAACGGGAUUCGAAGACAUUGUUGGGAGAUUGAAGGCUUUCGAAGAACGCAUAAAAGAAGAAACCCAAGAUGAAGAUCAAUCGAAGCUAAUGUUUGUGAAGAAUGAUACGCAAGGUCGUGGAAGCCAUAACAACUCGCGAGGAAGAGGCAGAGGUAGAGGUUAUGGUGGAAGAGGAAGAGGACGAGGAAGGUCUAAUGGUUCUGAUGGUCAUAACAAAGGAGGAGAAGCUUCAGACAAGACCAAGAAGGACUACUCUUAGGUUAGAUGUUGGAGAUGCGACAAGAUGGAGCACUUCGUGUCACAUUGUCCUACACAAACAAGAGUAGAAGCUAACCUCACGGAAACACAAGAAGCAGAUGCAUUAUAUAUGCAUGAAGUAGUAUUCCUCAACGAAGAGAGAGUGUUUCCUAAGAGGUUUGACGAGUGCAAUGGAAAUACAAGUAUAUGGUACCUUGACAAUGGUGAAAGUAACGAUAUGACAUGCAAGAGAGAGUUCUUCUCAAACUUAGACGACAGAAUCAAAGGCAAAGUCUAAUUCGGUGAUGGAUCAAACGUUGAGAUUGUUGGGAAAGGUUCGAUCACGUUCAUCGGAAAAACAGGGGAGAGAAGAGCACUCAAAGAUAUCUACUACAUCCCAAGUCUUAAACACAAUAUCAUAAGUCUUGGACAAGCAACCGAGAUGGGUUGUGAGGUUAAUAUGAAAGAAGACUUACUGAUGCUGAAAGAUCCAAGUGGAGGGCUAUUAGUACAAGUCGCAAGGCAACCAAACCGAUUGUACAAGACGCCAAUGGAGGUUGAAUAUCCGAAGUGUCUUCAAAUACAAGAAACUGAUGUUACAUGGACGUGGCAUGCACGGCUAGGACAUGUGAACUUUGGAGUCAUGAAGAAUAUGGUAGACAAGGAGAUGGUAGUAGGGAUGCCUCAGGUGAUACACGAGAAAGAUGUGCGCAACGCCUGCUUAGUUGGGAAGCAAACUCGGAAGUCUUUCCCGCCUAAAGCAAUGUAUCGAGCAUCACACACAUUGAAGUUGGUACAUGGUGACUUGUGCGGUCCGAUAUCACCAUCAACACCAGCAAACAAUAGAUAUGUAUUUGUCUUAAUUGAUGAUUACUCAAGAUAUAUGUGGACGAUGCUGCUAAGAGAGAAGAGUGAAGCGUUUGAUCGGUUCAAAAAGUUCAAGGAGUACGUGGAGAAUCAAACGAAGCUAAAACUCAAGACUUUUCGCACCGAUAGAGGAGGAGAGUUCACAUCUUCUGAGUUCAUUCGGCUUUGUGAAGAAAACGGUGUAACUAGAUAUCUCACCGCACAGUAUACACCGCAACAAAACGGUGUGGUCGAGAGACGAAAUAGAACACUAAUGGAGAUGACAAGGAGCUUGAUGAAAGCAAUGAAGAUUCCUAAUCAGCUAUGGGGAGAAGCAGUACAUCAUUUUAACGUAUCUCAUCAACCGCAUUUCUACAAAGGCUUUGGAAAACAAAACUCCAUACGAAGGCUUAUAUGUUAAGAAACCGAACAUUGAGCAUCUAAGGAUCUUUGGGUGUGUAGCUUUCGCAAAAAAUAAUGCUCCACAUCUCAGAAAGCUCGAUGAUCGAUCAAGGAUGGUGAUCAAUCUCGGGACAGAGCCUGGUUCAAAAGCUUAUAGGCUCUAUGAUCCUGUCACGAAGAAGAUUAUUGUUAGUAGAGACGUAAUCUUCGAUGAGAAGAAAAGUUGGGACUGGUCUACAACAACAAUGACUACAAACGAUGAACCGAGAGCUUUCAAACUUCCUCAUAUCGAUGUUGCAGAAGAGGGAGAUGGUGAUGAGCAUCAAGAUCACCAACACCACGAAGAGCAAAACAAUAAUGAAGAAGAAGAAGUUGUAGAUGCAGGUGAACAAGAGCAAGUAGCAGAGAACAAUGAUGCAAAUCAAGACCAGCAUGUAACAUCGAGAUAUGGCAGUAACAUCAGAAAACCAAAGCGGUUUGAUGAUUACAUCCUACUCGCUGAAGUUGAAGGUGGCAGACUCUUGAUCACCAUAGAUGGUGAACCAGAAAGUUACAUCGAAGCUGUAGAGAUACAAGCUUGGAUCGAUUCAAUGAAGGCAGAGAUCGAAUCUAUCAUCAAAAACAAAACCUGGAAGCUCGUCAAGAAGCCGGCAGGUGUGAAACCGAUAGGUUUGAAGUGGAUCUAUAAGAUCAAGAGGAAUGCAGAUGGAACGGUGAUCAAAUACAAAGCAAGGCUAGUUGCAAAAGGUUACGUGCAACAACAAGGCAUAGACUUCGACGAAGUAUUUGCACCAGUUGCUCGGAUAGAAACCAUACGACUACUCUUGGCUUUAGCAGCAACUAAUGGAUGGGAGAUCCAUCACUUAGAUGUGAAAACUGCGUUCCUUAAUGGAGACUUAAAUGAGGAUGUAUACGUGACUCAACCAUAAGGCUUUGUGGAGAAAGGAAAGGAGGAUCAUGUGUACAAACUUAGCAAAGCAUUAUACGGUUUGCGUCAAGCUCCGAGAGCUUGGAACAUCAAACUCGACUGUGUUCUCAAGGUGAUGAAGUUCAUGAAGUGCACCAUGGAACCUGCGGUAUAUCAAAAGAAAGAGAAGGGGGAGCUUCUGAUCAUAGCUAUAUACGUUGAUGACUUGUUUGUAACAGGGUCUUCACUCAACGUUAUCAAGCAAUUCAAAGAUGAUAUGUCAAGAAGAUUUGAGAUGUCAGACCUCGGGAAGCUUACAUACUAUCUUGGUAUAAAAGUAACGCAAGGAGCUGAUGGCAUUCACAUCAAACAAGAAGGAUACACGCAAGGUAUACUUUUCAAGAUGAAGAUGGAGUCAUGUAACUGUACUCACGUUCUGAUGCACAUGAGUUUGAAAGUAUCAAAGGCAGAGGAGGAGCCUGAGAUUGAUGCAACAUCGUUUCGAAGCACCAUAGGAUGCUUAAGAUAUCUUCUUCAUAGACGACCGGACUUGGCGUUUUCGGUUGGUGUAUUAAGCAGAUAUAUGCAGAGUCCAAGAGAGAGUCAUGGAAAACCAGUGAAGCAUCUGCUACGAUACAUAAAGGGCACUAUAAAGUAUGGUCUCUUCUUCAAACAGGAUGGAACAACGGAGAUUACAGGUUACAGUGACAGCAGCCAUAACAUAGACGUUGAUGAUGGAAGAAGCACUACAGGGUUUAUGUUCUACCUAGGAACAUCGCCGAUCACGUGGACAUCGUGCAAGCAACCCACAGUGGCACUCUCUUCAUGUGAGGCGGAGUUCAUGGCAGCUACGGAAGCUGCAAAACAAGCAAUAUGGUUAAAGGAGUUGAUGGUCGAGAUCAUGAACAAAGAAGACAAGAAGGUCGUGUUGAAGAUUGACAACAAGUCAGCGAUAGCCCUCACCAAGAACCCGGUGUUUCACGGUAGAAGCAAACACAUACUCUCGAAGUACCAUUUCAUUCGAGAAUGUGUGGAGUUCGACUUGAUCGAAGUGAAGCACGUACCUGGAGUGUAGCAGAAGGCAGACAUACUCACUAAACCAUUGGCAAGGAUCAAGUUCGAAGCAAUGCGCAAGUUCAUCGGAGUUCAGAAGAUCAACAUACCUAAGAUUCAAGUUGGAAUUAAGGGGGAUAAUGUUGAAUAAUUCCAAUUAACUUGAGAAGCAAGUUAACUCAUUAAAAUGAAGUUUGAUGGGUUAAGAAAAAAGAAAAACAUAUUGAGUUUAAAAAUGUUUUCAUAUUAUUAUUAGGAAAAGAUGUAGUUUCUUCCUAUAUAAAGAGUUCUUAUGCAGAGAUGUUCCAUCAAGAAGAGAAACACAUUGAAAGGUUUAGUUUUGAGAGAGUUUCUCAAUCUAAUAAGAAGAAAAGUUCUUAUAAUCUUUGUGUUUGUGCAACUUUAAUUGGUAUCAGAGCCAGGUUAAUUAUCCAAUAAGGCUUGGGAUAAUUGGGAAGACUUGCUUGGGAGAGACGAAACCAAUCAAAGGAUCAUGUUACUCCUGAAGGAUCAUGUUGUGUCCUUGACGUAACGGGUAUGACAGAGCUGAGGAUGGAUGGUCACCCUUUGAAUAACGCCGGUGGAGACCGUAGCUUAAAUGACUGUAGCCUUUUUUGAGUCCCAUGCAUGGAAUCAGCUUCUCUAUAUUGCUCUUCACGGUAAGGUUUAGUGUUUUUUAAAGGUCUAAUAAAAGUGAUUUUUAAAGGUAAGUGUGAUUCCAGAAAUGUAUUUUUUUUAUUUUUUUUUUAAAUUGUUUAUUAUAUAUAUAUAGGUAUCACAUUUUUGUUUUGUUUUGUACAAACAUACUAGGUGUUUGAAAAUAUAUAAUUGGUUUAAAGUUGGAAAUCAAGAAAUAUAGGUACCUUGAGAGUAGAGGAGGCGAUGGUCAGAUCUUUCACCUUAGAGAUCCCAACGAGAAAAUCACGAACCAUAUCUCUCUUUUGUAUUUCAUUUGCAACUUGUAGCCUCCUUUCAUUUGUCAAAUUAAACACAGUCUCUAUAUCAGCUUCUACAAGGGAAGGCUGGUUCUUUAUAAUGAAACUCGUAGUUCCACCAUCACUGAUCCUCAGAUACUUAAGCAUGGGAGCAUCAAUUUCAACUAUACUAUCUUCCUCAUAAUCAUCAUUCGUAUCCCAAUAAUGCAAGAAGCUCAAUAGAGACUGGGAACGCACACGUAAAAUGGGCAUUCCAUCACCGUAAAUUCUAUCAAUACUAACGUUUUCAAGAACUGGGCAUUGUGAGAUUAACUUCUCUAAUGCCCAUCGGUUGGUAUACUCAACGACGAUUAAAACAAUAUCUUUGAGAAAAGGUAAUGAAACACGCUCGGGACUAGGUAAGCUCAUUCCCACGAGCCUUAGGGACACCAAGCUACUACAAGUGUAAACUGUUGGAUUCAUCAUGAGAUCCUGAUCACAUACAACGUCCGAAAGAUCAAGAUGUUCAACUUUAAGCCUAGCAGAAGUGUCGACCCAGCGAUUGACAAGACCAGGCUCUUCAGCGUAAGAAGAAUCGUAAGUUAACUUAAACCGAUGUAUGGACAAACCGCGGUUGCGUUCGAGAAAGUUAUCGACAAAACUCACGAAUGUUUCGUGUAUAUUGUAAUCCUCGGUGUCCAAAUCCAGACCAGGUACGUCUUUCCAGAGAGUUGUCCAUCGGGUGGACAGCACACUAGUCUUAACCACAUCUUUGGUCGGAAGAUUUAAGAAUACCUGCAAUAUCAAGUAAUCUGGCAAACUGCUUAGCCGAUCAACUUCGCUCGGUGGGUUGGUGGAACGAGCAUGUUUCACCCUGGCUGCAUCCAUGAACGUAAACAUCAAAUCAAAAAGGAGAGGCGAAUAGAGGCCAGAUAGAUUGUGGUGGAUUUUUAUCUCUACACAUUUCUAGUUUCUGAGAUGAUGAAAGUUUCUUUACCAAAAUACACAUAUAUAUACUAGUGGGUGAUCUGUGUUUCCCGUAAAAUUUUGUAUUCUUUGCGGUUCAAAAUCUAGUAGAAUAUUCUUUUCAUUUUUAAAAAUAAAUGUUUCGUUUUUAAAAGAUAAUUUUUAACAGAUUUUUUUCCGCUUCUAUAAAUAAAUGUACUUGUUUUUUAUACAAUUGUAUUCAUUUAGAGUCAUUUCUUUACGAUAUAUCUAGUGAAAAUCAUUAAUUUUAUUAAAUUAAUAUUGGUUUAAACUUUAGAAAUAUAUAUAUACCGAGAGAUUUUACCUUAUAAAAAGAUUCAUUUUAGAUUUGUAUGCAUUCUUGACUAAUUAAUGGUAACAAAUCUUCAAUUUUAAGAAAAUAUUUAUUUAGAAAAAAUAAAUUUCUUAAAAUAAUAUAGCUGAGAUUCUUAGAAAAUUUCUUACUUUGUAAGUAAUUCCAUAUUUAUAAUGAAACAUCGAUUUGUUUUUUUAAUAUGUGUAUAUGAGAUAUACAUAUGAGUCACAUUACUGCAUUUAUAAUAUAUCAUUAAUUUUUACUUAAUAUGUGUAUAUGAAAUAUAUAAAUAUUUUAAGUAGCGUUCUAAGAGCAACUCCAUGGCUUAUAUUCUCUACAAUAUCGUCGGUACGAAUUAUGUCAACACGCUACAUAACUUUUUCUAGGUUGGGGUUCCUAUGCGAAGUAGUGGAUUCCAUUUCAGGUCGACGAGGUGAGUUUUUUUUAAUGUUUUUGAUCUAUAUUUUUUUGGUUGUUAUUUAAAUUGUUAUAGUAUGUUGUAUUGAUAUGGUAUGGUGAAGAAUAAUUACUCUGAACUAGUGAAUGCGUGUAUCACUAUUUCUGUAAAAAGAGGAAGAUGUGAAGAAGAUGAACUCGCCGACUAUACUAUAUGUAGUGAAAGAAAAUUAUUGUAUAGUACGAUUCUUAUAUUUUUGUACAAUUCGCAAGUACCAAAAUAAAUAGUACGCUACGGUUGUUGUAUUAUUGUACCAUCGAUUGUUUGAUAAAUUCAUUAUUUAUCAAUUUCUUGUUUACAACUAUAUGUACUAUACUAUGUAUUUUGUUCUAUACUAUUUUAGUUUAGAGUUUAUACUUAGGUUUAGGGUUUAAUGAUUAAGAUUUAGGGUUUAGUAUUUGGAAGGUGGAGGUUGAGGUUUGGGUUUAGUGAUAUGUCCCAUUCGACGAUUAAUAAAGAGUGUUAUUUUUUGCUCACCAAUUUGUACUAUACUAUGUAUUUUGUUCCAUUCUAUUUGGGUUUAGAGUCUAUACUUGGAUUUAGGGUUUAGUGAUUAGGAUUUAGAGUUUAGUAUUUGGAAGGUAAGAGUUUAGGUUUGGGUUUAGUGAUAGCAUUUUUGUGUUUAGUAUUCAAAGGUUAGGUCUGAGUUUAGCAUUGAAGUGUUUUGUUUGGAUUUAGUUUAAUAUUACAUAAUAUUAUAUACUAUUUUCAUAUUUUGAUAAUUGGGUUUAAAGUUUAUAUUUGGGUUUAGGGUUCAGUAAUUAGGGUUUAGGGUUUAAUAUUUAGAUGGAAGGGUGAUGUUUAAAGUUUAGGGUUUAGUAUUUAGGAGUUGAAGUUUUGAGUAAAGUUUAGUAUUUACUAGAUGUGAGUGGAUUUUGAAUCCUAUUAAUUUUAGUGAUAUGGUAUAGAAAAAUCAGAUGCAUCUUUAUGUGUUAAACAAAAGUGUGGUGUUGGUUGUAUUACGUGUGAUAAUUAAUUGUGGGGUGUCAAAAUGUUGAUGUCACAGUUUCUCUUUCUAUUACUCGCAACUUGGACAAAAAAAGGAUAAUACCGGAUAGAAGUUUACAUAAUUGUUAUGGACUUUUUGUCAAAAUCAAUGUUCUGCACUUAAUUUCUUUUUCAAAUUUGGUCAUUUGGCAAAUUUA
rnacentral:lncRNA from 1 species